rnacentral:rRNA from 1 species
AGUGAACGCUGGCGGUAGGCCUAACACAUGCAAGUCGAACGGCAGCACAGAGGAGCUUGCUCCUUGGGUGGCGAGUGGCGGACGGGUGAGGAAUACAUCGGAAUCUACUUUUUCGUGGGGGAUAACGUAGGGAAACUACGCUAAUACCGCAUACGACCUACGGGUGAAAGCAGGGGACCUUCGGGCCUUGCGCGAUUGAAUGAGCCGAUGUCGGAUUAGCUAGUUGGCGGGGUAAAGGCCCACCAAGGCGACGAUCCGUAGCGGGUCUGAGGGGAUGAUCAGCCACACUGGAACAGAGACACGGUCCAGACUCCUACGGGAUGCAGCAGUGGGGAAUAUUGGACAAUGGGCGCAAGCCUGAUCCAGCCAUACCGCGUGGGUGAAGAAGGCCUUCGGGUUGUAAAGCCCUUUUGUUGGGAAAGAAAUCCAGCUGGCUAAUACCCGGUUGGGAUGACGGUACCCAAAGAAUAAGCACCGGCUAACUUCGUGCCAGCAGCCGCCGUAA